rnacentral:rRNA from 1 species
UUUGAUUACGUCCCUGCCCUUUGUACACACCGCCCGUCGCUGCCCGGGACUGAGCCAUUUCGAGAAACUCGGGGACGAUUAGCGAGCGAGCUUCGGUUGGCGCGCAGAUUGGAACCGAUUUAAUCGCAGUGGCUUGAACCGGGCAAAAGUCGUAACAAGGUAGCUGUAGGUGAACCUGCUGCUGGAUCAUUAC